AGAUUUCUUCCCUUCGGGGACCUAGUGACAGGUGCUGCAUGGCUGUCGUCAGCUCGUGUCGUGAGAUGUUGGGUUAAGUCCCGCAACGAGCGCAACCCUCGUCCUUAGUUGCCAUCAUUAAGUUGGGCACUUUAAGGAAACUGCCGGUGAUAAGCCGGAGGAAGGUGGGGAUGACGUCAAGUCCUCAUGGCCCUUACAGGCUGGGCUACACACGUGCUACAAUGGCAUCUACAGUGGGCAGCUAUUCCGCAAGGAUGCGCUAAUCUCCAAAAGAUGUCUCAGUUCGGAUUGUCCUCUGCAACUCGAGGGCAUGAAGGCGGAAUCGCUAGUAAUCGCGGAUCAGCAUGCCGCGGUGAAUACGUUCCCAGGCCUU
rnacentral:rRNA from 1 species